GCGGAGGGAUCAUUACCGAGUUUACAACUCCCAAACCCAAUGUGAACGUUACCAAACUGUUGCCUCGGCGGGAUCUCUGCCCCGGGUGCGUCGCAGCCCCGGACCAAGGCGCCCGCCGGAGGACCAACCAAAACUCUUAUUGUAUACCCCCUCGCGGGUUUUUUUAUAAUCUGAGCCUUCUCGGCGCCUCUCGUAGGCGUUUCGAAAAUGAAUCAAAACUUUCAACAACGGAUCUCUUGGUUCUGGCAUCGAUGAAGAACGCAGCGAAAUGCGAUAAGUAAUGUGAAUUGCAGAAUUCAGUGAAUCAUCGAAUCUUUGAACGCACAUUGCGCCCGCCAGUAUUCUGGCGGGCAUGCCUGUCCGAGCGUCAUUUCAACCCUCGAACCCCUCCGGGGGGUCGGCGUUGGGGAUCGGCCCUCCCUUAGCGGGUGGCCGUCUCCGAAAUACAGUGGCGGUCUCGCCGCAGCCUCUCCUGCGCAGUAGUUUGCACACUCGCAUCGGGAGCGCGGCGCGUCCACAGCCGUUAAACACCCAACUUCUGAAAUGUUGACCUCGGAUCAGGUAGAA
rnacentral:rRNA from 1 species